rnacentral:rRNA from 1 species
UGGGGAAUAACGCAUCGAAAGGUGUGCUAAUACCGCAUAAUCUCCACGGAGAAAAGCAGGGGAUCGCAAGACCUUGCGCUUUUGGAGCGGCCGAUGUCUGAUUAGCUAGUUGGUGAGGUAAAGGCUUACCAAGGCUUCGAUCAGUAGCUGGUCUGAGAGGACGACCAGCCACACUGGGACUKAGACACGGCCCAGACUCCUACGGGAGGCAGCAGUGGGGAAUUUUGGACAAUGGGGGAAACCCUGAUCCAGCCAUGCCGCGUGAGUGAAGAGGGCCUUCGGGUUGUAAAGCUCUUUCAGCCGGAACGAAACGGUCACGGUUAAUACCCGUGAUCACUGACGGUACCSGAAGRAGAAGCACCGGCUAACUACGUGCCAGCAGCCGCGGUAAUACGUAGGGUGCGAGCGUUAAUCGGAAUUACUKGGCGUAAAGCGUGCGCAGGCGGUUUUGUAAGUCAGAUGUGAAAUCCCCSGGCUCAACCUGGGAACUGCGUUUGAAACUACAAGGCUAGAGUGUAGCAGAGGGGGGUGGAAUUCCACGUGUAGCAGUGAAAUGCGUAGAGAUGUGGAGGAACACCGAUGGCGAAGGCAGCCCCCUGGGCUAACACUGACGCUCAGGCACGAAACCGUGGGGAGCGAACAGGAUUAGAUACCCUGGUAGUCCACGCCCUAAACGAUGUCAACUAGUUGUCGGGUCUUAACGGGCUUGGUAACGCAGCUAACSCGUGAAGUUGACCSCCUGGGGAGUASGGUCGCAAGAUUAAAACUCAAAGCMAUUGACGGGGACCCCCACAAGSGGUGGAUUAUGUGGAUUAAUUCGAUGCAACGCAAAAAACCUUACCUACCCUUGACAUGUACCGAAGUCCGCUGAGAGGUGGAUGUGCCCGAAAGGGAACGGCAACACAGGUGCUGCAUGGCUGUCGUCAGCUCGUGUCGUGAGAUGUUGGGUUAAGUCCCGCAACGAGCGCAACGCUUGUCAUUAAUUGCCAUCAUUCAGUUGGGCACUUUAAUGAGACUGCCGGUGACAAACCGGAGGAAGGCGGGGAUGACGUCAAGUCCUCAUGGCCCUUAUGGGUAGGGCUUCACACGUAAUACAAUCGCG